AGUAGUAGACUACGUGGUCGGCGUGAACAGAGCCCUGGCUACGAUCCCCACGGAAGAAUAAAACAAGCAAGCAAGCAAACAAAAAAGUUUUCCACUCAUAAGUACAAAGAUCAGCAUGGCUACACGCAUUAAAACCUCCCGUGUCUUUAAAGGCACAGUUGGUAAUGAAGCUGCAGCCUGCACCCACAGAGGACUUCUGGCAGAGGUAUAAGGAGCAGCUGGCCUCUGGGGGCUUCGGCUGAGGGUGAUGGAUGCUGUGGAGGAGGAGGAGGUUGGCUCUGCCUCAAGGCUGCCAACCAGAGCUGCCAUGAAGAAAAUUAUGAGCUUGCCCAGAAUCGCCUGCUGGACUGACCUCCAGAUGGACCACCAGGAGCACACAGAAGGACAGAACAGCAGAGUGGGGGUGAGGUCAAGACACAGGGAAAGACAGACUAAGGCGCAAGGUGGCUGUGUGCAUUUGUUUUCUCUUCUCCUUAUCCUCUGGAAACUUUGAACCAAGUUAGCAGAGUGCUGUGUUCUCCAGACUUAAGAAAGUGUAUCUCUAUAUGUGUGCACAGGAAAAAGGUUUUACAAAAUAUUUCUGGCUUGCAUAGAAUUCUGUUUUUCUGGAAAACAGAAACGGUAUAGAAAUUUAUUGUUCCCCCCCCCCAAUAUCUUCUCUCCUUUCUUUCCUUCAUUUUGCUAGAAUGCUUAUCUUUUUUAGAAGUUAAAGACAUAACUUAUCCUAAUUAAUACAAUUUCUAAAUCAAGUAUAGUUUAGUUACUAACAGUGAUGCUGUUGUAAAUGCCAAAAAAUAUGGUAUAUCCAUACAGUGGAAUAUUAUUUGGCUAGUAAAAGAAAUGGCAUGCUGGCACACAUUGUACUGGGGCUGAACCUUGAACACAUUUUGCUAAAUGAAAGAAGCUAGCCAUAACUACAAUAUAGUAUAUGAGUCCACUUGUGUGAAUGUCUAAAAUAGAAAAAUUCAUAGAAUCAGAGAAUAGGUUAAUAGUUGCCAGAUUUAGGAGGUAGGGAUUACUAAUGAAUUUUUGAGAUGAUAAGAAUGUUCUAGAAUUAGCUAGUGCUGAUGGUUGUACAACCUUAGGAGUAUUUAAAAAAAAACACGGAAUGAUACAUUUCAAGUUAUUUAUCUAUUUAUUUUGUAUUAUAUGUACACAUUUGUGUCUGUGUGUAUGUCAUGUGGGUCCAGGUAUCCCCGGGAGACCAGAAGAUGUUAGAUCCUCUGGAGCUGAAGUUAGAGACCUCCCAAUUGGGCUCUAUAAACCAAACUUAUGUCCUCCAGAAGAACAAGACACACUAUCUUUUGUUGUUGUUAUUUUGUUUCUUUUGUUUUGUUUGAGACAGCAUCUCUCUAUUUUGUAGCUCUGUCUUAGAAUUCCUUUGGAAGACCAGGUUGGCCUUGAACUCACAGAGAUCCACCUGCCUCUGCCUCCCAAAUGCUGGAAUUAAAGUCGAGUGGCCAUCACAAUGUGUGCUCUAAACUCCUUAGUCACCUCUCCAGGUCCUGAACUGUACAUUUUAAAUAGAUGCAUUAUAUGUCAAUAAAGCUGUGACACUUCCAUAA